rnacentral:rRNA from 1 species
AUACGUAGGGGGCAAGCGUUGUCCGGAAUGACUGGGCGUAAAGGGCGUGUAGGCGGUUGAGUAAGUUGGGAGUGAAACUCCUGUUUUCAAGGCAGGAACUGCUCUCAAAACUGCUUGACUUGAGUGCGGAAGAGGUAAGUGGAAUUCCCAGUGUUGCGGUGAAAUGCGUAGAGAUUGGGAGGAACACCAGGGGCGAAGGCGACUUACUGGGCCGUAACUGACGCUGAUGCGCGAAAGCGUGGGGAGCAAACAGGAUUAGAUACCCUGGUAGUCCACGCCCUAAACGAUGUCAACUGGUUGUUGGGGAUUUAUUUUCUCAGUAACGAAGCUAACGCGUGAAGUUGACCGCCUGGGGAGUACGGCCGCAAGGUUAAAACUCAAAGGAAUUGACGGGG